AACGAACGCUGGCGGCAUGCCUAACACAUGCAAGUCGAACGAGACCUUCGGGUCUAGUGGCGCACGGGUGCGUAACGCGUGGGAACCUGCCCUUAGGUUCGGAAUAACUCCCCGAAAGGGGUGCUAAUACCGGAUAAUGUCUUCGGACCAAAGAUUUAUCGCCUUUGGAUGGGCCUGCGUUGGAUUAGCUAGUUGGUAGGGUAAAAGCCUACCAAGGCGACGAUCCAUAGCUGGUCUGAGAGGAUGAUCAGCCACACUGGGACUGAGACACGGCCCAGACUCCUACGGGAGGCAGCAGUGGGGAAUAUUGGACAAUGGGCGAAAGCCUGAUCCAGCAAUGCCGCGUGAGUGAUGAAGGCCUUAGGGUUAUAAAGCUCUUUUACCCGGGAUGAUAAUGACAGUACCGGGAGAAUAAGCUCCGGCUAACUCCGUG
rnacentral:rRNA from 1 species